AAUUGUGCAUGAAGGUUUGAAGGAAAUUGAUGCUUCUAUCAAACGUGUUAGGAAAAUGGUGAGGUAUGUUAGAUCAUCUUCGGCAAGAGGAAGUCACUUUAAGAAAAGUUGUGAAGUUCAAAGGGUGGAUUGUUCUAAAACAUUAGAGCUAGAUGUGCCUACUAGGUGGAAUUCCACCUACUUGAUGUUGGAUACGCACAAAACUUUGAGAAGGCCUUUGAUAGGUUUGAUCUUUUUGAUGAGAAUUUUAAUAAUUAUCUUUCUACUCAUGUUAUUGAAGAUGGAAGUGUUGCAGGUCCUCUCCAAUCUGAUGAUUGGGUGAAUGUAAGGAAUGUGAUAAAGUUUAUUGAAAGAUUUCACGAGCUCGCCGUAAAUGUUUUAGGUUCACAUUAUGUUACUUCUAAUGUUCAUUUUGAGGAUAUAUGUGAGCUUGAUGUACAUUUGAAAGUGUGUUUAGCAAGUGAAGAUCUUAAUUUGAGUAAAAUGGCUGAGCGGAUGAGAGAAAAGUUUAAAAAGUAUUGGGGUGAUCCUGAAAAGAUGAACAAAAUGAUUUUUAUUGCUUCCAUGUCGAUCCUCGUAAUAAGUUUGUGUAUGUUAGCUUUGGGCUUGAAGAGCUAUUUGGGGAGGAAGUAGGAAAGAAAGUAAGCAAAGGAGUGUAUGAUUAUAUGAAAUCUUUGUUUCGAGAGUAUCUAAAAAAUUAUUCAAGAGAAUUUCAUCAUAAAUCAUCUCCAUCUGCAUCUUCUUCAUCUCAAUGUUCAUCUGAUGUAUCUUCUAGUUUUGACACCUCUUUGAGAACAAAAGCUUUGAGAACUAAGCUUCAGUUGAAGAAACAAAAGGAAGAUUCUGGAUGUGGGAUGCUAAAUCGGAGUUGGAUAGAUACAUUAGUGAAGAACAAGAGCCUGAAGAUGAAUGUGUUGAGUUUAAGGUCUUAGAUUGGUGGAAAAUAAAUGCUCCUAGAUUUCCCGUGCUUUCAGAGUUGGCUCGUGAUGUGUUGGCUAUUCCGGUUUCUAGUGUGGCAUCGGAAUGUGCAUUUAGUGGAUGUAUUCUUGAUCCAUUUAGAAGUUCUUUGACUCCUAAAUGUGUGCAAUCUCUUAUUUGUGCCCAAGAUUGGCUUAGAGAAGAGACUAAACCCGUUAGUGUGGAAGAAAGUUUGGAGUAUCUUGAGCAACUUGAACUUGAGAUAGCAAAUAGUGGAAGAGAUCCUUGCAUUGUUGAUGUUUGAUUUAGGGAGUUUGAUUGCAAUUUGCUACUAGUGAAUAUUUUGCGGUAGUUCAAGACAAUGAAGAAGGGCGUAAAUUAAGGUGCUUGACAUAUGGUAUGAUACUUAAAUAUAAUUCAAGAGUGAAUGGCACAGGUUCCUUGAUCAAACAUAUUGGGAAAUGUCUUGAGCGUCAACAAAAGAGGCAAAUCCGCCUUCAAAUUUGAGCUUGUGUUUUGAAUUUGGUGAAUUUCGGACCGAAUUGUGAUUGCUAGUGUUGUGUUAAGACAAUGGAUUUAAGACUUAGUUUGUGAUAGCUAAUUUUUUGUAUUUGGAGCUAAAUUUUAAGAUAUUUGUGUUGUUUAUUUAUGUUGUUUGGUAGUUUGGUUGUU